AUUGAACGCUGGCGGCAGGCCUAACACAUGCCAGUCGAGCGGAUGAAGGGAGCUUGCUCCUGGAUUCAGCGGCGGACGGGUGAGUAAUGCCUAGGAAUCUGCCUGGCAGUGGGGGAUAACGUCCGGAAGCGGGCGCUAAUACCGCAUACGUCCUGAGGGAGAAAGUGGGGGAUCUUCGGACCUCACGCUAUCAGAUGAGCCUAGGUCGGAUUAGCUAGUUGGUGGGGUAAAGGCCUACCAAGGCGACGAUCCGUAACUGGUCUGAGAGGAUGAUCAGUCACACUGGAACUGAGACACGGUCCAGACUCCUACGGGAGGCAGCAGUGGGGAAUAUUGGACAAUGGGCGAAAGCCUGAUCCAGCCAUGCCGCGUGUGUGAAGAAGGUCUUCGGAUUGUAAAGCACUUUAAGUUGGGAGGAAGGGCAGUAAGUUAAUACCUUGCUGUUUUGACGUUACCAACAGAAUAAGCACCGGCUAACUUCGUG
rnacentral:rRNA from 1 species